CUAGUCGGCCUUCAGAGUCUGGGCCUCGACACACAAGCUCACUGCCCUGGCGCGGAUAGAUGGGGCUGAAGUCCACCUAUGGCGGCAGAAGCUCGGGUACUUGGGAACACAGUCCAUACCGGGCUGAUGUCAGGAUAGUACACAAUUCAGGCGUCCGGGGGCCGUCACUGUAUCCGGAGGGCAGCCCGGCGUCAGGAACAGGGCCCCGAGGGAAGGCAGGAGGACAGCGCAGGAGCAGGUGCUGGGACGAGGCUGAAGAGUGCGCGGCGACCGACAGAGGGCGAGGGCUGUGGGCCCGCCUGCAAGGAGCUGAGUGCGGCCAGGCGCUGCUCCCGCGACACGUCCCCGCGCAGGUCCAAGAUGGCAGAGACGUGAUCCUCGCUGCGGGGACACCAGAGAGGCCUGCCACCUCGAGGCCAAGCAGCACGGGGUCGCGGAGGUUCAGCAGAUCCCGCAGAGCGAGGAGCACUGGCGCGCACUGAACACUCUCCUCCAGGCCCUGAGCACCGCAGGGAAAAGUUCCCGAAGCUGGGCCGCGUCGUGCUGCAGGCGCUCGGCCGCCUGGGUCCUCUCGUCGGCUCCUCGGCACACCAGGCGGCCCUGCAUCAGCGCACGCAGCCUUACCUGGAGCUCCGCCAGCAGUGCCUCCAACACCAGGCGGCAGAUCCUCCUCUGCAACUCGUCCAGCGCUGUCUCCACCGGAGCCAAAGCUCCUGAAGCCGCCCCGUCGGGCUGCAGGACCGACACGGAGGAGCUGGACGGACCAAAAGUUAAGGCUUCAGGACCAAGGCCAAGGCCCUCGCGGUCGUCGGUUGUCUAGCCACUCUGACGCCACCUAGUGGUGCAAGUGUGUGGCGGGAGGGGGCAAGAAUGGCGGCUCUCUGCAGUUCUGUACAUCUGGGGCUUGGACUGAGGAUGGGAGUGGUGGGCUCAGACAGCUAGAAGGAGCCCAACCAGACCUGCCUCUAGUUCGCAAUGUGACUUGGAGCAAAUCAUGUCUUUUGGUUUCUGUUUGGGUAAGGGAAGAGUUUAAUCCCAGCCAGGAGGGAUUCAAACUCAUCAUUAACUUGUUUGUUCUCUCUGCCCCCACCCCAAAGAACAUAAGACCCAAGAGGAAGGGGAUUUUUUUCUGUUUUGUUCACAGCUGUAACCUCAGACAUUACGUGGCACAGAGUAGGGCCUUGGAUCUGCAGGCAGCAACGGGUGGUCAUCAGCAGAGUCCAAGUUCUUUUCUCCUCCCCUUUCCCUCUGGGGGCUUCCCACCUGCCUGGCCUCUUCCCACGCACCUGCAGCACUAUGGCCGGCAUAGGUAGGACUGCACCACCGACUGUGGGAGGGAGGCAGCCAGUGAGGCCUGGCCAGUCCUACAGCCUGUCCCCAGCACUCCUUUCCCCUGACUGAUGCCCACCUUGAUGCGUGCUUCCAGUGAACAGGUACGCUGAACCUCACGGCUGCGGUACUGGCCCAGUCUGGCCAGCUGCUCUGGCCGGUAGAAGACACCUGAGGCCCAUUUGAGUGCUGCUCCUCGGGCCAGCCGCUCCGCCCUCUCUUGCUCUGGCCACCCAGGCCCUGGGCAGGAAGAGCCUGGGCAGCCUCGUCAGUUGGGCAGGGCCUGCAGGAAGUGGCCCGAACCUGCUCCCCUUCCUACUUCUCAGCCUGUCCCCUAGGGCAGUCCGAUCCAUUCCUCUUGCUGCCCUAUAGAGCUCCGGCCAGCCCUGGCAAGGAGGAUCCAACCCCACCAUUCCCAUCUUUCUUGCCACCAUCCCUCCCUUAGCACACCCAGAGGGCUCAUACCAGGGGGAAGUGAGGGCUGCAUUUCAUCCUUGGUUGCUGAGUCCAUGGCAGUCCCUCGAGGAGCUGGAGAUGAGGUAGGAGUGGGGGUGCUCCUGUGAGCUGCAGCCUCAGGCUAGG